UUCUAUUUGGUUCUUCGAGCCCUUGAUACUGUUGAGGAUGAUACAAGCAUACCUACAGAUGUGAAGGUGCCUAUUCUGAUAGCUUUUCACCGUCAUAUAUAUGAUUGCGAGUGGCAUUUUUCUUGUGGUACUAAGGACUACAAAGUUCUCAUGGACCAGUUUCAUCAUGUUUCAACUGCCUUUCUAGAGCUUGGGAAAAGUUAUCAGGAGGCAAUCGAGGAUAUUACAAAAAGAAUGGGUGCAGGAAUGGCUAAAUUCAUAUGCAAGGAGGUGGAAACAGUUGAUGACUAUGAUGAAUAUUGCCAUUAUGUAGCUGGACUUGUUGGACUAGGCCUGUCCAAACUUUUCCAUGCCUCUGGAUCAGAAGAUUUGGCACCAGAUGUCCUCUCCAACUCAAUGGGUUUAUUUCUUCAGAAAACAAACAUUAUUAGAGAUUAUUUGGAGGAUAUAAAUGAGAUCCCUAAGUCACGCAUGUUUUGGCCUCGUCAGACCUGGAGUAAAUAUGUUAACAAACUCGAGGACUUGAAAGAUGAAGAGAACUCAGUCAAGGCAGUGCAAUGCUUGAAUGAUAUGAUUACUAAUGCUUUGAUUCAUGUGGAUGAUUGCUUGACAUACAUGUCUGCAUUGCGAGAUCCUGCUAUAUUUCGAUUUUGUGCCAUCCCUCAGGUCAUGGCAAUUGGAACCCUAGCACUAUGCUACAACAACAUUGAAGUAUUCAGAGGUGUAGUAAAAAUGAGGCGUGGUCUUACUGCUAAAGUCAUCGACCAAACAAAAACUAUGGCUGAUGUCUAUGGUGCUUUCUUUGACUUUUCCUGUAUGCUCAAGUCCAAGGUUGACAGGAGUGAUCCUAAUGCAGAAAAGACAUUUAGCAGGGUGGAAGCAAUACAAAAAACUUGCAGGGAGUCUGGACUUCUAAACAAAAGAAAAUCUUAUAUUAUUAGAAACAAGCCAAGAUAUAAUCCUGCUCUGAUUAUCCUACUUGUUAUUAUAUUGUCCAUCAUUUUCGCUUAUCGUUCUGGGAACCAAGCAAGCAACUAAAGAUGGUAACUCCCUUGAACUUCCUGUGUACUUACAUGGGUGGCUAGCUACUAGAGUGUGUGAUUUGUUUCAUGGAACUUCGAUUUCUGAUCUUUGCAUAUGACGUAUCACUGUGUAUCUAAUAUAAAAAUGUCUUAGUGUACUCCAUGCCUAUGGACUCCAUUUUGUCAUGCAGAUCCUGUUAAAGAAAUUUUAAUAAAUGUUGAAGAUGCUAAUACCA
rnacentral:misc_RNA from 1 species